AGAACGAACGCUGGCGGCAUGCCUAACACAUGCAAGUCGAACGAAGCCUUCGGGCUUAGUGGCGCACGGGUGCGUAACGCGUGGGAAUCUACCCUUCGGUUGGGAAUAACACAGAGAAAUUUGUGCUAAUACCUUAUAAUGUCUACGGACCAAAGAUUUAUCGCCGAGGGAUGAGCCCGCGUAGGAUUAGCUAGUUGGUGGGGUAAUGGCCUACCAGGCGACGAUCCUUAGCUGAUCUGAGAGGAUGAUCAGCCACACUGGGACUGAGACACGGCCCAGACUCCUACGGGAGGCAGCAGUGGGGAAUA
rnacentral:rRNA from 1 species